UCCUGUGCACAAGGUGCAGGAGGUGUCAGAUAUUUUACUUUUUUGGCUUUUCUGCAAACAUUAUCAAUGGUGACAUUCGAAUUGGUUCGUUGAAAGAUCGAUAAGCGCAUCAGGAAUGGAAUAAAUGUCAUAACUAUACUCUAGUAGACGAAACUUCCUUGCUUUUACCCAGCGGCCCAUGCAGGCUGAACGUUACAUCGAACCUGCGUUGGUUUGCCCUACGUGACUAUCCUUGCUGUGGACUCAAGCACCACCAACCAGCCUGAACCCAGCACCAUGGCUCUACUUCACUGGCACAUCAGAAAGCUCGCCUCCUCUGUGCCUCCGCUCAGCCUUUCCAUAUGUGACAACUGGUUGGCUUCUGUCCAAAACGAGCUCGGAGGCCAUGCAGGCACCUGGUACAGGAGAGCCGGCAGAUUUUGACAUCUCUGCCCUGCUCUGACAUCUCUGCACCUGAUCAGCAGCUGCUUCACAAGGUGCACAGGUGUGGUCACGAGUUGGGCUGCUGUUACUUAGCCGUCGUCCGUUCCGAACAUGGUGUCAGAAGCUGGCUAACACCGUCACUAUGGCGGAAGGUGACCUCCGUAUCCAAGUGGUUUGCGUCGGAGCGUAGGGACUUCAUCCUUUAGCACCAUUCACUUUCACCAGCCCGGCGGAAUGGCCCACUUGGAUUGCAACGAGGACAGUCAGAACGACUUCAGCCAUCACUGCCAAGCCAUCAGAACUUCAAGACAAGAGAUGCCGCAAACACGUCACAACAGGCAAACAACCACAAUCGCCCCAAGUCCUCUGACCCGCUUGAAGUUGGGGGAGGACGUGCGAGUUAAGGACGUCAAUUGCCGAGGCAGUAUCCUCGGCCCCGCUCAGUGACCACAGUCAUAUGUGGUGGAAACGCCCAGGGAAACUCUGCAGUGAAACCGUCGGCAUCUAAUCCCCUUCUCAAAAGGCCUGUCAACAGAGGAACUGCCAGCCAGUGAACAAAAUCCAGGACCAGGUUUACAGCAGUCUACGCCUGGUGAGGGUCAACCAGCAUCAUCGCCAGAGCUUCAGCAAGAAGGGCUUCGGCUGAGACGCACACUUUGCGGUCGUGUGAUUGGACCGCCAAGGCGACUGACUUGUAGAUCUUAAGGGGAGAUGUAGUGGGCACUACUAAGGUGAUGGUGUUUAUCUUAUUGCUCGCCAGAGGACACCAUCAUUUAUAGAGCGCUUAUAUAAGGAGCGGCGCGUGGAAAUAAAAAGGGCUUUCUUUUUUUUGGUUGUGGUCACGA
rnacentral:lncRNA from 1 species